CCUACGGGUGGCAGCAGUGGGGAAUAUUGGGCAAUGGGCGAAAGCCUGACCCAGCAACGCCGCGUGAAGGAAGAAGGCUUUCGGGUUGUUAACUUCUUGUGUCAGGGAAGAGUAGAAGACGGUACCUGACGAAUAAGCCACGGCUAACUACGUGCCAGCAGCCGGGGUAAUACGUAGGUGGCAAGCGUUGUCCGGAUUGACUGGGUGUAAAGGGCGUGUAGCCGGGUUGACAAGUCAGAUGUGAAAGCCUGCGGCUUAACCGCAGAACUGCAUUUGAAACUGUGGAUCUUGAGUACUGGAGAGGCAGACGGAAUUCCUAGUGUAGCGGUGAAAUGCGUAGAUAUUAGGAGGAACACCAGUGGCGAAGGCGGUCUGCUGGACAGCAACUGACGGUGAGGCGCGAAAGCGUGGGGAGCAAACAGGAUUAGAUACCCCGGUAGUC
rnacentral:rRNA from 1 species